UACGUAGGGGGCUAGCGUUGUCCGGAAUCAUUGGGCGUAAAGCGCUUGUAGGCGGCCCGGUAAGUCCGCUGUGAAAGUCGGGGGCUCAACCCUCGGAUGCCGGUGGAUACUGUCGGGCUAGAGUGCGGAAGAGGCGAGUGGAAUUCCUGGUGUAGCGGUGAAAUGCGCAGAUAUCAGGAGGAACACCAAUUGCGAAGGCAGCUCGCUGGGACGUUACUGACGCUGAGACGCGAAAGCGUGGGGAGCAAACAGG
rnacentral:rRNA from 1 species